GAUUCAACGAGAAGGAAACUAUUUGAGAGACCAAAGUUUGUGCGUUUUGAGACAGAGAAGGGAGAGAUAAUCCGCCAUUAAACAGUAUGCCUACUCUCACGAAGCUCUACACAAUGGACGAAGCUUCCCAACACAACACGAAGGAUGAUUGCUGGAUCGUUAUUGAUGGCAAGGUGUAUGAUGUGAGUUCAUAUUUGGAUGAGCACCCGGGUGGAGAUGAUGUUGUCCUUGCUACAACUGGGAAAGAUGCAACAGAUGAUUUUGAAGACGCUGGCCACAGCCAAGAAGCAAGGGAACUAUUACAAAGCUUCUGCAUUGGUGAGCUUGACCCGUCUGCCCCAGUUAUCCCAGAACUUGAAAUUUCCUCCAAGAAACAGCCAGCAGUUAACUCCCAGAAGCUCCAGGACUUGACAAAGCAAUAUUGGGCAGUUCCUGUAGCCAUUGCUGGUAUCUCUGUGGUAGUUGGCUUCUUGUACUUGCGUAAGAAGUAGAGCAAAUCCAAAGUUUCCGUCUCCGUUGCUGAGAAGAAAUUAUUGUUACAAUUUUGAACAACUAGGACAAUGAUUGAGGUGAAUGUUCUAUCAUUAUUUGUAAUUUUUCUUUUCUUCUUUUUGGUUCUUGCAGAAUGCCUGCAUCUCAUUUAUAAGAAUUGGAAGAUAAAUGGAUUGGGAAAUACACUCUAAUUUUCAUAUCAGAAGUUUGGAAGGCCUAUCUAAAUGAACAUCAAAUAUCC
rnacentral:misc_RNA from 1 species